GACGAACGCUGGCGGCGUGCCUAAUACAUGCAAGUCGAACGCAGUGGGGACGGGUAAGUAACACGUGGGUAACCUCCCAUCAGAGGGGAUAACACUUGGAAACAGGUGCUAAACCGAUACUGAUGGAUGGACCCGCGGUGCAUUAGCGAGUUGUGGGGGUAACGGCUCACCAGGGCCACGAUGCAUAGCCGCCCUGAGAGAGUGAUCGGCAACACUGGGACGUGUACACGGCCCAGACUCCUACGGGAGGCAGCAUUAGGGAAUCUUCGGCAAGGGACGAAAGUCGGACCGAGCAACGCCGCGUGAGUGAAGAAGGUUUUCGGAUCGUAAAACUCUGUUAUUAGAGAAGCGGUAUCUAACCAGAAAGCCACGGCUAACUACGUGCCAGCAGCCGCGGUAAUUC
rnacentral:rRNA from 1 species